AGUAAACAUGUUAGCACAUGUUACGAGAUGUGGAGUGCGUUUUGGGUUGCUUAGUAGACAAUCAUAAAAAUGUUUGCAAAAUUGUCGUUAUGCUGAACGCAACCACGUUUUUGUAAAAAAGUAGUCAACGUUACUGGUUAAAUAACCACUAUAUAGUGCCUAUCGAGCGCUUGCUGCCCUAUGACUCCUAUUAACUGUACCGUAAUGUCAAACUGCUGUUUUCAACACAGUUAUAGUAAGUCUGUGAUUUAUGAUAGAUCAAGCAGAACUGCUGAGGCUAAAUGAGAUCGAAUAUGAUUGAGAUCAUUUUACCAAUCCACAUUCAAUCACAAUUCAACCACAACUUACAUGAUCCUGAGAUGCUGGACUGAAGAGUCACUUUUGUGAUCCAGGAUUCCAAUUUGCGUCCUUAUACAAUGGCCAAUAUUCAGUCGGUCAGAAGACAGUUUUAAGUAAUGUCUUAUAAUGGUUUUUGGUUGUCAGCCGUCGAUAUUACUUAAAACUGUCCUGUAAGAUUCGAUUAUGAAUAC